rnacentral:misc_RNA from 1 species
GAUGAAGAACGUAGCGAAAUGAGAUAAGUAAUGUGAAUUGCAGAAUUCCGUGAAUCAUCGAAUCUUUGAACGCACAUUGCGCCCCCUGGUAUUCCGGGGGGCAUGCCUGUCCGAGCGUCAUUGCAACCUUCAAGCGCGGCUUGUGUGUUGGGUCUCGUCCCCCGUGGACGGGCCCGAAAGGCAGUGGCGGCGUCCCGACAUGGUGCCCGAGCGUAUGGGAAUCCUCUUCCGCUCGAAUCGGCCCAUGCGGCGCUGGUCGUAACCAAAUUUUUUACCGGUUGACCUCGGAUCAGGUAGGGAUACCCGCUGAACUUAAGCAUAUCAAUAAGCGGAGGA